rnacentral:rRNA from 1 species
GAUGAACGCUGGCGGCGUGCCUAAUACAUGCAAGUCGAGCGAACGGACGAGAAGCUUGCUUCUCUGAUGUUAGCGGCGGACGUGUGAGUAACACGUGGAUAACCUACCUAUAAGACUUGGAUAACUUCGGGAAACCUUAGCUAAUACCGGAUAAUAUUUUGAACCGCAUGGUUCAAAAGUUAAAGACGGUCUUGCUGUCACUUAUAGAUGGAUCCGCGCUGCAUUAGCUAGUUGGUAAGGUAACGGCUUACCAAGGCAACGAUGCAUAGCCGACCUGAGAGGGUGAUCGGCCACACUGGAACUGAGACACGGACCAGACUACGACGGGAGGCAGCAGUAGGGAAUCUUCCGCAAUGGGCGAAAGCAUGACGGAGCAAAGCCGCGUGAGUGAUGAAGGUGUUAGGAUAGUAAAACUCUGUUAUUAGGGAAGAAAAUAUGUGUAAGUAACUGUGAACAUAGUGACGGUACCUAAUCAGAAAGCCACGGCUAACUACGUG